GAUGAACGCUGGCGGCGUGCCUAAUACAUGCAAGUCAAGCGAACGGACGAGAAGCUUGCUUCUCUGAUGUUAGCGGCGGACGGGUGAGUAACACGUGGAUAACCUACCUAUAAGACUGGGAUAACUUCUGGAAACCGGAGCUAAUACCGGAUAAUAUUUUGAACCGCAUGGUUCAAAAGUGAAAGACGGUCUUGCUGUCACUUAUAGAUGGAUCCGCGCUGCAUUAGCUAGUUGGUAAGGUAACGGCUUACCAAGGCAACGAUGCAUAGCCGACCUGAGAGGGUGAUCGGCCACACUGGAACUGAGACACGGUCCAGACUCCUACGGGAGGCAGCAGUAGGGAAUCUUCCGCAAUGGGCGAAAGCCUGACGGAGCAACGCCGCGUGAGUGAUGAAGGUCUUCGGAUCGUAAAACUCUGUUAUUAGGGAAGAACAUAUGUGUAAGUAACUGUGCACAUCUUGACGGUACCUAAUCAGAAAGCCACGGCUAACUACGUG
rnacentral:rRNA from 1 species